GCAGGACCACUUCCAGUUUCAUAGAAAGCUGUUGUACGAAAGAGAAAUCCUGCUGGAAGCUGAGCUCAUGGAGGAAGAAAGCAGACCAUUGGGAUGUGUCCUGUCACCACACACCUGUCCCAGUGACACACAUGGUGUGAGCCUGUCAGCCAAUGGAGGGAGCUGAACAGACAGAGAAGCACCUAGUGGCUGCCUAGGGACCAGGACUUCUCAGUGAGCAGCCGGUCUGAAUGGAGAGUUCAUUCAUGUCUAUCUCAUCACAUUCCGGCUUUCUGAAGACCCCAGAGCAUGCCACCAUCUGUCAUCAAGAAGCUGAGGCCAAGGAGUGUCCCCCACGCCACCCACCCCAGGUCCCCAGGAAAACACCUCCUUUGACCUCCGUUUCCCACUUGGGAGAGGUCCAAGCUCAUGCUGGAAUAGACAAGAGGUUUCCAGAAAGCAUUUUGGAGCGGGACUGUGAUUCCUCCCGAUAUCCUUUACAAGGCAGCCGUGGAAGACCGACAAAUCAGCAAGGACUGUGUGAGACCAGAGGAGGCCUACCUCCUCCUCUCCCACCCCAGCACACGGUGAGCUUCCCAACCCUGACAUCAUCAGAGUCUUUCUCCAAAGAUGGAUGCCUCUUACCAGCUGCAUGGGAAACUUGGAACUCAAGGUGCUUGCGUCCAUGGAGUCCCAGAUACAGGAAGAGACGACACAGAGCAGCAAAGUAACUUGGCCAAAGGCACACAGCCAGUGAAAGGUGGACCG